rnacentral:lncRNA from 1 species
GUUAGAGAGGUGUGCAAAGAGAAACCCAACAGGGCAUGCAAUAGAUUAGGAGAAGAGCAGGAGUACCUCUGGCUGAUGGUGCUGAGGCAGGCUCUAAAAUUGGCUGCUUCCCGGAACAGAAACGGCAGGAGUUGGCAUCAGAAUGCAGCAACUUGAUUCCUGGCUACUUACCAGUUCCGUGACCUGAGGGUCCAGCACAUGGUAUGUGCACAGACAUGUUGUUUGAAUGAAUGAAGAUUUUCCCACCUGGGUCUGCUGCCUCCUUCAUGUUUUACCACCUGGUGUCACUUCAGAUUCUGAAACUAUCUGUGGCUCAUCUACUUAGGGAGGACACUGAUGUGGACAUUGCAGAAUAUCAGCUCCAGUUUGAUAAGGUGGUGCACAAUGAUGAGAGAGAGGACUUUGAGGGUUUUCUUCCUAGGUGCUCAAGUAGCUAAAAAAUAAAUAAAUAAAAAAAUAGAAUACAAUAAAAAACAAGCAGUGGUGGGAAUUACAGAUUAGCUAUAGAAGGAAAGAUUACCAAAUUCCGUUGGGGUGUGGCUGCUAGUGGUCUUUAAAACACUGAAGGCAGGCUUGUCUCAGGUCCCAAGUAUAUUGCAAAUGAGCCAGCACUAAAUAAACCUUGAAACCUGAUGGCUCCAUUCUCUCUCUUGGAAUCUAUCAAUUUUAUAUACAUGAUAAGCAUAUUUAUUGAUUGAUAAAGGCUUAGCAGAGAAGCCUGAAAUAGGACUGGCUUCCUUGGCCUCCAAGAGGCAGUUUCCUUCUAUCACAAAACAUGUUUAAAGCUCUUUAAUUUUGAAGGUCCUUGGAGUCUUAAAUUGUUCCCCACCUCCCACACACAUACACUUUCGGCAAUACCCCCAAUACCAGAAACCCAGACAAUACCUAUCCAUGUAUGACACCUGAGUUAUUGACUAUAUGUGGCAAUUGUUUAAUUCUAGGUUCACUUUCUCUUGCCGUCCAGUGCUCUUGGAAAACAUCUCUAUUAUCAGUUAACAUGUGAGUCUCCAGAAGGCAGACUCAUUUCAAUCUUAGUUUAAGCAAAAUCAUGUGGAAAAUCCAAUUUCCUUUAAAAAGUAUAUUCCAAG